ACUGCUCUCCCCAGCUUCCUGAUGCCCCCGGGGGUCCGCCGACCCCGGGCUUCCUUCCCAGGCGGGCCUCCGCCUUCACCUUCACCUCUCCACCCCCCUGGCUCGCUCUGAUGAAAGGGCAAUGGUGCAAAAUUCGUUGGGGAGAAAAACAGGAAGUGGAGCCUGAGAGCAAGACUGCAGAAGCGAGUGUGGCAGCCCCUCCAGCCGCAGCCUUACAGGAAAGCGGCGAGGGGGCAGCCCCGGCCCGAGCUGCGGGGGCGAGCGGCAGGGGUGCUGAUGGGAGAGUCCGGCACAGACCCUCCGGCUGUGUUUUUAGGGGCUUUGCCUUUAGACCAAGCCCUACAUCUGUGUCCUGCACGUUACAUCUCCUCUCACCUGUCCACAGCAGCUCCUCAAGAAAGCAACCAGACAACACAUAGAAAAGCCUGAACUACAAAAGCCGCAGGUCCGUACGGAGAGAUUUCCGGAGGCCCCAGUUAUGAAAGAGGGGAGAGUGGACGCGUCUUCAUCUCAGCAGGCCGGGAAAUAGACCAGGCUGCGUGGACGCAGCCUCUGGGCGGCUGAGAGCUCGCUUGACGGCAUGGGCAAGCUUCCGCUCGCCCCUCCCGCGCUGGUCUCCUGUUCGGAUCCGAGCUCUCUGGGGACGGGGAGCCCCCCAGACCCCACCCUCAACGCUGCCCCGCCGAGAGGAGUGAAAUCACUUCCAGCUGCACCAGGACCCUUCCCCCGGCCUGAGCCGCCCCCGGGAACAGAAUAAGAGACAGGCUAAGGGGUAUAGUUCAAAGGUUGAGCCGGGCCGGGCUGAUGAGGGGCCUGCGGUGGCGCAGAGAGCCAGCGCUGGAGGCCACGGAGCCGGCCACGGAAGGCGCCGG